UUCUCCCAUUCCAGAAAUGAUUGUCUGCCCAUUCCCUGGGUCCAAGCCAACACGGAAUGUAGGGUCCUCUCUUUGGAAGCGGUUCAAAGCUUUCGAAAAUUGCUCUCCAGAAUCUUUUGAGACAGGUUGUACAGCUAAAGACAUCGCAGGUUUAGGUACAUCAUAGAAGUCAUUGUGUAUUUAACCGACCCAUCAGUAAAAGUAUCUCCUUGGCUUGCUGUUUGUAUUAAUGUGGAGCUUCUGCGGUUUUUGCAGGUUGCAGUUUUGGGUUUAUGUUAUACACGUUUGGAUUUGGCUUGCAGCAGGUACUAGACUUAUAGCAGGCGGCGACAACAGAACAAACCAUGUAUUCAAUUGCAUUUCCCUGGCGCACAUGGACUCUUGUUCACACUGACGGCACGGUACUGGGCUCUUGGAUUUGCAGGUCAGAGUAUGUGUGUGGAGGAUACCCCUGCGGUUCCUAAACGGUCUGUGGAAGCAUAAUGCAGGGAAGGGCAUGGGCGACUGUCAUGACAGGAUG
rnacentral:lncRNA from 1 species